UCCUACGGGAGGCAGCAGUGGGGAAUAUUGGGCAAUGGGCGAAAGCCUGACCCAGCAACGCCGCGUGAGGGAAGAAGGGUUUCGGCUCGUAAACCUCUGUCCUAUGGGACGAAGAAAGUGACGGUACCAUAGGAGGAAGCCCCGGCUAACUACGUGCCAGCAGCCGCGGUAAU
rnacentral:rRNA from 1 species